CUACGGGUUGCAGCAGUGAGGAAUUUUGCGCAAUGGGGGAAACCCUGACGCAGCAACGCCGCGUGAGUGAAGAAGGCCCUUGGGUCGUAAAGCUCUGUCAAUGGGGAAGAAGUUACUUGGUAUUAAUAGUGCCUUGUAUUGACGGUACCCAUGAAGGAAGCACCGGCUAACUCCGUGCCAGCAGCCGCGGUAAUACGGGGGGUGCAAGCGUUAUUCGGAAUUAUUGGGCGUAAAGGGCACGCAGGCGGUCCUGUCAGUCAGAUGUGAAAGCCCGGGGCUCAACCCCGGACGUGCAUUUGAAACAGCAGGACUUGAGUACGGGAGAGGAAAGGGGAAUUCCUGGUGUAGAGGUGAAAUUCGUAGAUAUCAGGAGGAACACCGGUGGCGAAGGCGCCUUUCUGGACCGGUACUGACGCUGAGGUGCGAAGGCGUGGGUAGCGAACGGGAUUAGAUACCCUUGUAGUC
rnacentral:rRNA from 1 species